rnacentral:tRNA from 1 species
AUUCGGAAUAGCUAAUUGGGUAAGCGCAGUAGUCACGUUGUAGGUCGCAGGUUCGAUUCCUGCUUUCGAUU